AUUGAACGCUGGCGGCAUGCUUUACACAUGCAAGUCGAACGGUAACAGGCCGCAAGGUGCUGACGAGUGGCGAACGGGUGAGUAAUGCAUCGGAACGUGCCCGGUCGUGGGGGAUAACGCAGCGAAAGCUGCGCUAAUACCGCAUACGAUCUAUGGAUGAAAGCGGGGGACCGUAAGGCCCCGCGCGAUUGGAGCGGCCGAUGUCAGAUUAGGUAGUUGGUGGGGUAAAGGCUCACCAAGCCAACGAUCUGUAGCUGGUCUGAGAGGACGACCAGCCACACUGGGACUGAGACACGGCCCAGACUCCUACGGGAGGCAGCAGUGGGGAAUUUUGGACAGUGGGCGCAAGCCUGAUCCAGCAAUGCCGCGUGCAGGAAGAAGGCCUUCGGGUUGUAAACUGCUUUUGUACGGAACGAAAAGGCUCUGGUUAAUACCUGGGGCUCAUGACGGUACCGUAAGAAUAAGCACCGGCUAACUACGUGCCAGCCGCCGCCGUAAUAC
rnacentral:rRNA from 1 species